UCCCGUUUGGCUAAAGUCGAUCAUGGCAAAAAGAGGGAUUCCAUUCGACGCGGACUACGCUAAGAAGCGAAAGACGCAUUGAAGUGGCGAACGGAGUUGAAGCAGAAGUUGAAGCUGUCGGUGAUAUCUCCUUGGAGUUAGCUGAUGGAUUCAAUCUUCUACUUAGAGAUGUUUUAUUCGUUCCAUCAUGUAAUAGAAACUUAAUAAGUGUUUCUUGCUUGGACAAAGAUAAUUAUGAGUGUUAUUUUGGACAUGGCAAGUGUGCCAUUUGGUUAAAUAAUGCUUAUGUGGGUGAUGCUUUA